CCCAAUUGUAGCUCAAGCCUCCUCCUCCUAGUUACAUUCAGUUACCCAGUCCCUCAUAGCAACAGGCUGCCUAGCACUUCCUGGAAGGACAACAUAACAUUCCAUAUAUCACACUUGCAUGCUUUUUCCGUAAGCAUAAUGCUAUCUCCUGGCGUAAAAGCAUGGCUUUGGAACAUAUUCAAUUGAAUAGUCUUGUUAAUGUUAGUAGUUCCUUAGGACACCAGAAUUGAAAUCAGUGGAAAUUUUGGAGGUGUGAAGAACUACUCAGAAGAAGCAAGGAUUAUGCAGGUUACACCUCUACUUCUCUGAGUUUCUCUAUUUCCUGGUAGUACAUCUGUAUCAUUAUUUUCAUUAAAAUCUUCCUGAUUCUAAAAAUGUGUAGUCUAUUACAUAUUGCACUUAAUGUCGCCUUUUCAAGGGGAAAAAGGGAGAUCUUGUUUGUUGGUUUCUAUUUUUCUGAAGCUUUGUUGUUGCCCUUUCUUCAGACAUAUGUGAAUGUCUUAUUUCUAUGAUACACUCAGUUCUUUUCCAAUGCAUAUGGUUCUCAUGUGAUAAGUAUGGAACAAAAGAGAUUUGGUUACAUAGCUCGUCUUAUAGAGUAUGACACAUGAGUAUUAAUGAAACACGAUACUUAGAAUUAGAACUUGAGAAUGAGAGGUGGGGACUCCAGGAAGUUCAGAUGUGAAAAAGUUAUUCCUGUCUUGUCUCAUAUCAGGAUCUGGGUGUGGGAAGGAAUUGUUAGUCAUGGAUGGGUUUCAGGUUCUCUGAACAGACUGGGUAGAGAGAUGUAAACAAGGCUGCAAAACUAAGGGAGGAAUCCCACAGUUGCAGAAAACCAUGUGGCUGGUAAAGCUAUAAUCUUGCAAAGGGGGACAAGCAAUCACAGGGCUUGUACAAACAGCAUGUAGAUCCCUAAGGGAUCCUUAUUUAUCCUCCUGGAGAAGACGAGCAUCCUGUGCCUCGAGAGAUACUUGUGACCUGUGCUGGAGAACUGUGUCCCAAGAGCCCUAAUUUGACUUAAGCUGUGAAGAUGAAUAGAUACCUGAUGAAAGGGAUGAUUCAGUACAGCUUUUAUUAGCAUGCUAAUUUUGGCAGAAAUCAUCUGCCAAUUUUUGAAAAGCUGUCAAAGGCUGCUGUUUCAGUAUCUUGACAUUGAAAAUGCUUUGCUGGCUUCAGUCUUGUGAAUUCUUAAACCACCUGGGAAAGCCUUUGUUGACAUUUAAUGAUUUUAGUUUUCUAUAUAAUUUUUCAAAAUUUAGUUAUAUCUCUAUUAAAGACACUGAAAAAAAAACAACAACAAACAAUUUCAUACAGAGAAUGAGUGUGCAGAAAGAGCACCCUCUGAUCCACGCUACAAGGACUUAAUUAUUUCUCAGGUCGUUCAAGUUGCUGUGCUGACAUGCCAUAGAUGUGUGGGCAAUUUCACGGUAACAACUGCUUUGUCUCUUUCUGCUAUGUAAGAUUUUUUUCCCAUCAUGUUUAUUUUUUCAUCUACUUCUGCAGUUGGUCUGUCUUUUUCUUGUCCUUG